rnacentral:rRNA from 1 species
UGGGGAAUUUUGGACAAUGGGCGAAAGCCUGAUCCAGCCAUGCCGCGUGAGUGAAGAAGGCCUUCGGGUUGUAAAGCUCUUUUAGUCGGAAAGAAAAGAUCAUAAUGAACAAUUAUGAUUCAUGACGGUACCGACAGAAAAAGCACCGGCUAACUACGUGCCAGCAGCCGCGGUAAUACGUAGGGUGCGAGCGUUAAUCGGAAUUACUGGGCGUAAAGGGUGCGCAGGCGGUUUUGUAAGUCAGAUGUGGAAUCCCCGGGCUUAACCUGGGAAUUGCGUUUGAAACUGCAAGACUAGAGUGCAGCAGAGGGGAGUGGAAUUCCAUGUGUAGCAGUGAAAUGCGUAGAGAUGUGGAAGAACACCGAUGGCGAAGGCAGCUCCCUGGGUUGACACUGACGCUCAUGCACGAAAGCGUGGGGAGCAAACA